rnacentral:tRNA from 1 species
GGAGAGAUGGCCGAGUGGUUGAAGGCGCACGCCUGGAAAGUGUGUGAUGUCAGAAAUGGUAUCCCAGGGUUCGAAUCCCUGUCUCUCCGCCA